UGUUAAAAUUUUUAUUCAAUUCUAUUGUUAAAAACUAGCAUUGCUAACAAACGUGUACUUCAUUUUGAGGUAUAGAAACCAAUUUUUAAUGAUAGAAAUGGACGAAAUUUUCAAUA
rnacentral:pre_miRNA from 1 species